rnacentral:tRNA from 2 species
GGUUUCAUAGUGUAGUGGCUAUCACGUCUGCUUUACACACAGUAGGGCAUGGGUUCAAUCCCCAGUGAAACCA